UACGGCGGCCAUAGCGGAGGGGAAACGCCCGGUCCCUUCCGAACCCGGAAGCUAAGCCCUCCAGCGCCGAUGGUACUGGCACUCGACAGGGUGUGGGAGAGUAGGACACCGCCGAAC
rnacentral:rRNA from 1 species